rnacentral:rRNA from 1 species
CCUACGGGUGGCAGCAGUGGGGAAUAUUGGACAAUGGGGGCAACCCUGAUCCAGCCAUGCCGCGUGUGUGAAGAAGGCCCUCGGGUUGUAAAGCACUUUCAGUGAGGAAGAACGCCUGGUGGUUAAUACCCAUCAGGAAAGACAUCACUCACAGAAGAAGCACCGGCUAACUCCGUGCCAGCAGCCGCGGUAAUACGGAGGGUGCGAGCGUUAAUCGGAAUUACUGGGCGUAAAGCGCGCGUAGGUGGCUUGAUAAGCCGGUUGUGAAAGCCCCGGGCUCAACCUGGGAACGGCAUCCGGAACUGUCAAGAUAGAGUGAAGGAGAGGAAGGUAGAAUUGCCGGUGUAGCGGUGAAAUGCGUAGAGAUCGGGAGGAAUACCAGUGGCGAAGGCGGCCUUCUGGACUGACACUGACACUGAGGUGCGAAAGCGUGGGUAGCAAACAGGAUUAGAUACCCUAGUAGUA